CGGAUUUUUAUUUGGGGUUUUAAAAGGGGUGCGCAGGGCGGGGAGAUUAAGUCGGGCGGGUGAAAUUUUGCAGCUCAACUGUAAAAAGUGCCAUCGAUACUGGUUUUCUUGAGUGUGGAUGAAGUAGGCGGAAUUUGUGGUGUAGCGGUGAAAUGCAUAGAUAUCACAAGGAACACCGAUUGCGCAGGCAGCUUACUAAACCAUAACUGACGCUCAGGCACGAAGGCGUGGGGAGCAAACAGGAUUAGAUACCCUGGUAGUCCACGCAGUAAACGAUGAUUACUAGCUGUUUGCGAUACAAUGUAAGCGGCUGAGCGAAAGCGUUAAGUAAUCCACCUGGGGAGUACGUUCGCAAGAAUGAAACUCAAAGGAAUUGACGGGGGCCCGCACAAGCGGAGGAACAUGUGGUUUAAUUCGAUGAUACGCGAGGAACCUUACCCGGGCUUGAAAUGCAUCUGACCGGCCUUGAAAGAGGCAAUCCCUUCGGGGCAGAUGUGUAGGUGCUGCAUGGUUGUCGUCAGCUCGUGCCGUGAGGUGUCGGCUUAAGUGCCAUAACGAGCGCAACCCUCAUCAUUAGUUACCAUCAGGUAAGGCUGGGGACUCUAAUGAGACUGCCAUCGUAAGAUGUGAGGAAGGUGGGGAUGACGUCAAAUCAGCACGGCCCUUACGUCCGGGGCGACACACGUGUUACAAUGGGUGGUACAAAGGGCAGCUACCUGGCGACAGGAUGCUAAUCUCGAAAACCGCUCUCAGUUCGGAUCGGAGUCUGCAACUCGACUCCGUGAAGCUGGAUUCGCUAGUAAUCGCGCAUCAGCCACGGCGCGGUGAAUACGUUCCCGGGCCUUGUACACACCGCCCGUCAAGCCAUGGAAGCCGGGGGUACCUGAAGUUCGUAACCGAUGAGGAGCGACCUAGGGUAAAACUGGUGACUGGGGCUAAGUCGUAACAAGGUAGCCGU
rnacentral:rRNA from 1 species